rnacentral:tRNA from 2 species
UCUAAUAUGGCAGAUUAGUGCAAUAGAUUUAAGCUCUAUAAAUAAAGAUCAAACUUUUAUUAGAA